CAUCGACAUUUUGAACGCAUAUUGCGCCCACGGCUUAAUUAUUACUAUUGCUGUGGGCACUCCAGAUCGAGGGUCGUAUGACAAAUUUAUUUGUAUCCAUCUGAUUGAUUUGAUUAUCUAUCAGCUUUGAGCUGUCGUGUUUACUUCGGUGAAUUGCGUCGCUUUAAAUUGACCAAGUUCAUUGGCACGGACCAUGGGAAUCCGACUGUCCAAUCGAAUGAGAAAGGCAAGGUAACGACUUCAGUCUGCAACUCAUAGGUUCGUCCNUCGUCAUAUCAUUGACGCCCAACGACCAUUCUGCAUUCCGUGCAUUUGGUUUAUUAUUUCCUUGAACUGAGUUGCAGGUGUGAGACCGAGUUUAUUACCAUUUUGUCUAGAGCUUGCCCGUGGUUGGUGCAUUGCUAACUCUAUCACGACCUCGUUUCGGGAGAGAUUACCCGCCAAAUUUAAGCAUAUCAAUAAGCGGAGGAAAAGAAA
rnacentral:rRNA from 1 species